rnacentral:rRNA from 1 species
GACGAACGCUGGCGGCGUGCCUAAUACAUGCAAGUAGAACGCUGAAGAGAGGAGCUUGCUCUUCUUGGAUGAGUUGCGAACGGGUGAGUAACGCGUAGGUAACCUGCCUGGUAGCGGGGGAUAACUAUUGGAAACGAUAGCUAAUACCGCAUAAAAUGGAUUAUCGCAUGAUAAUCCAUUGAAAGGUGCAAAUGCAUCACUACCAGAUGGACUUGCGUUGUAUUAGCUAGUUGGUGGGGUAACGGCUCACCAAGGCGACGAUACAUAGCCGACCUGAGAGGGUGAUCGGCCACACUGGGACUGAGACACGGCCCAGACUCCUACGGGAGGCAGCAGUAGGGAAUCUUCGGCAAUGGACGGAAGUCUGACCGAGCAACGCCGCGUGAGUGAAGAAGGGUUUCGGAUCGUAAAGCUCUGUUGUAAGAGAAGAACGAGUGUGAGAGUGGAAAGUUCACACUGUGACGGUAGCUUACCAGAAAGGGACGGCUAACUACGUG